GUAAAGUUAGUUUAAUAUUAAAAUAGUAGGUUGUGGGCUUGCAGAUAAAGAUUUUAUUUACUUUACU
rnacentral:tRNA from 1 species